rnacentral:lncRNA from 1 species
AGGGAUGUGGUGUGAUUUGACAGGACUUCAUCCGAUAUGCAGCUAGCCGUUGAAGAGGCAUGAUCCCACAUGGAGUGAUGUGACUUGAUAGGACCAUAUGAGGGUCAACCCUUUCAAAUAUGACAGCUAGCAAUAGUUGAAGGGAUGCAGCCUGCAGUUAAGGACGAGGAUCGAUGAGAGAUCCUUCGAUCGAAGACGAUACUGGGCUUGGGACCUUUCUUGAAUCGAUGUCCGAUGUCCGAUGUUCGGGUGUCACUCUGAUA